UUCGAAGAUCAAAUUUUGCGCCUAGGGUACUAAUCUUUAUCUAGUUCUGCAAAUGGGAAUUGCUGUUUUUGUUAGGACUGUCUAAAGUUCAGGCACACUGGUAGAACACCAAAUUAGAUCCACUAGUGAGAUUCCCGAGGACCCCUAAAAAACCACUGGUCAAAAAAAUAUAUCGGUCGAAUUUAAAAAAUCCCCCCCGCCCCCCCCCCCGGCCCUUCACCAAUUCCGAGUUCCGACGGCAGGUCGGCGGCAUCUUCGUCUCCCACUCUCCCGUGACCCGUCCCGUCACGCACCGUCCGCCCUCCGGCGCGGCGGCGCCCUCCCGCCGGCCGCAUCCCCUCCCCCUGGCCCCUGCGCGCCGCCCUCCGACGCCUUCCCGCCGGCCGCAGCGGACAGGUGCGCAGGGCGGACGGACAGCCGCAGACGGGCAGACGGCGGACUGGAGAGGGCACCCCUGCGCGCCGCCCUCCAGCACCUUCCCGCCGGCCGCAUCCCCUCCCCCCUGCGCGCCGCCCUCCGGCACCUUCCCGCCGGUCGCAUCCCCUCCCCCUGCGCGCCGCCCUCCGAUGCCUUCCCGCCGGCAGGAGUACAUCACAAUUGUUAGCGAGCUACUCCCUAACUGGGCUGGCGGUUCAAGCACAAAAAGGAAAGAUGAAGAUAGCAUAGCUCCUGCUUCAGGUUCGAAGGGACCGAUGGGACCUGUAUUUAGCAGUUUAAUGUACGAGGAGGAUCAAUGAAAUGAAUCAGAACUUGGUGACAUCCAUGUUUCAGUGAGGGAAGGAGCAAUUGAUGACAUAGUAAAGCAUCUGGCUGCUGGUGUGGAAGUCAACAUGAGAGAUAGUGAAGGCAGAACUCCAUUGCACUGGGCUGUCGACCGUGGUCAUCUAAAUUCUGUUGAAAUUCUUGCAAAUUCAAAUGCAGAUCUGAAUGCUCAGAAAGAUGAUUAAUCUUUUCAAAAUAAAAGGGCCAAAAGAAAGAAGAGGCAGCAAGUGCUGCUGGAAAGGCCCCUGUCAAGAAACAAUCUGCUGGGGAGCUCCGUCUUCAUAAAGG